rnacentral:rRNA from 1 species
AGCGAACGCUGGCGGCAGGCUUAACACAUGCAAGUCGAGCGCCCCGCCAGGGGAGCGGCAGACGGGAGAGUAACACGUGGGAACAUACCUUUUGGUUCGGAACAACUGAGGGAAACUUCAGCUAAUACCGGAUAAGCCCUUACGGGGAAGAUUUAUUGCCGAAAGAUUUGCCCGCGUUUGAAUUGCCAGUUGGUGAGGUAACGGCUCACCAAGGCGACGAUCAGUAGCUGGUUGGAGAGGAUGAUCAGCCGCACUGGGACUGAGACACGGCCCAGACUCCUACGGGAGGCAGCAGUGGGGAAUAUUGGAAAAUGGGGGCAACCCUGAUCCAGCCAUGCCGCGUGAGUGAUGAAGGCCUUAGGGUUGUAAAGCUCUUUUGCCCGGGAAGAUAAUGACGGUACCGGGAGAAUAAGCCCCGGCUAACUUCGUG